GUCCAGACUCCUACGGGAGGCAGCAGUGGGGAAUAUUGGGCAAUGGGCGCAAGCCUGACCCAGCAACGCCGCGUGAAGGAAGAAGGCUUUCGGGUUGUAAACUUCUUUUAUCAGGGACGAAACAAAUGACGGUACCUGAUGAAUAAGCCACGGCUAACUACGUGCCAGCAGCCGCGGUAAUACGUAGGUGGCAAGCGUUAUCCGGAUUUACUGGGUGUAAAGGGCGUGUAGGCGGGACUGCAAGUCAGAUGUGAAACCCAUGGGCUCAACCCAUGGCCUGCAUUUGAAACUGUAGUUCUUGAGUGAUGGAGAGGCAGGCGGAAUUCCGUGUGUAGCGGUGAAAUGCGUAGAUAUCAGGAGGAACACCGGCGGCGAAGGCGGCCUGCUGGACCGCGACUGACGUUGAGGCUCGAAAGCGUGGGGAGCAAACAGGAUUAGAUACCCUCGUA
rnacentral:rRNA from 1 species